UUCAAAAGUUUGAAGUCGCUUAGAAAUGUCCUUAUUUUUGAAACAAAAGCAUUUUUUUUCAAUGAAGAUAACAUUAAAUUAAUACGUACAGUCUAGACAUUGUUAAUGUGGUAAAUGACUAUUCUAGCUGGAAUGGCUGAUUUUUAAUGUAAUGUCUACAUAUUAUCUACACAGUAUCUACAUAGGGGCAUAGAGACCACUGUUCUCUCUAAACUGCUGACACCGCGCACAGAAAAUCUGCUGCGCACACAAAAAAAAAUCCAACCUAAAUUGUAAAUAAAAUAAACACGUAACAAUUCAUUCUGUUCUAUUUUUCAGUGUGAGUCAGUGAGUGACGGUGACUGGCUGCUGCAGCCAAUGAUGCGAUUCACAUACGUAUUUACCAUAGACUGUAUAUAAUGGUAUUUACGUAGCUAAUCAACAUCAGGCGUCCUUAUGUGCAGCCAUCGUUGUUCUCAUAGAUAUGAAUGAGUAGAUAGGACACGCCCCUUUGAGCUGCGUGCUACAGCGAGGCUAAGCUAGUGGGGGAAAAGUUUCAGUGCAUUCCGUUGAUGUAGAUGGUGUGAAAAUGGAAACAAGUAUGCCGGCUCACUGUACUGCAUACAGUUACACACUACGUCGUACGAUUGAGACAAGGAAACUUGGAAUGACUUUUCAUAGGUGAUGAUUGGGAUUACAGACAGUUCUUUAGGACUGCUCUCAAAUAAUUGAAAUGUUACUAAACAAGGUUAUACUUAUCAAAUUAAAUAGCUCUGGUCUCCAGUAUAUUGGCGAAUUCGGUUCUUUGUACUUAAUUUAUUAGCAUGAUUUCUUUUAAUAUGUUGUCUACAGACUUAAUUACUUCUCUGUCUACUUUUCUUACUCCAUGUAGGUUUCCCAGAGACUAUGGGUUGAGGAGGAAUUGGAAGUUUGUCGGCUUAGACCUGUUGUCAUUCCAUCAGUGUUAAACUUCCCGGCUCAUCUUGGAAGAGUACGUGCCAGAAAGACCACGACCAAGCAGCCUUGAGAUCUUAGGCAGCGUCUCCCUCAGACCAAAGAACUACAGACUCUUCACAACCUGCUCAAACUCUUGGUACAGGACCUCACCACACGGGUCAAGAAGGUUUCUGUCUCAUUUCUACUCUGAAGCUCACCUUCUCCUGCUCAAACUGCUGACAAAUGUUUCUGCUGCUCUAAAGUCUGCUCUCCAGAACUUCCUAAAAACUCU
ensembl:lncRNA